GUAGGUGGCAAGCGUUGUCCGGAAUUAUUGGGGCGUAAAGCGCGCGCAGGCGGUUCUUUAAGUCUGAUGUGAAAGCCCACGGGCUCAAUCGUGGAGGGUCAUUGGAAACUGGAGAACUUGAGUACAGAAGAGGAAAGCGGAAUUCCACGUGUAGCGGUGAAAUGCGUAGAGAUGUGGAGGAACACCAGUGGCGAAGGCGGCUUUCUGGUCUGUAACUGACGCUGAGGCGCGUAAGCGUGGGGAGCAAACAGGAUUAGAUACCCUGGUAGUCCACGCCGUAAACGAUGAGUGCUAAGUGUUAGGGGGUUUCCGCCCCUUAGUGCUGCAGCUAACGCAUUAAGCACUCCGCCUGGGGAGUACGGCCGCAAAGGCUG
rnacentral:rRNA from 1 species